rnacentral:pre_miRNA from 1 species
AGAUUCAUAUGAGACAACUAGAUUGAUUGUCUAUCUAGCUGCCUCAGAAUGAGUCUAA